GCUGGGCCUGGUGGCGCAUGCCUGUAAUCCCAGAGGCUUAGGAGGCUGAGGCAGGAGGGUUGCGAGUUUAAAGCUAGCCUCAUAAAAAAGCAAGGCGCUAAGCAACUCAGUGAGACCCUGUCUCUA
rnacentral:sRNA from 1 species